GCAAUGGGGGCAGCCCUGACGCAGCAACGCCGCGUGAGUGAAGAAGGCCUUUGGGUCGUAAAGCUCUGUCAACUGGGAAGAAAUUAAGCAUAAUUAAUAGUUGUGUUUAUUGACGGUACCAGUGGAGGAAGCGCCGGCUAACUCCGUGCCAGCAGCCGCGGUAACACGGGGGGCGCAAGCGUUAUUCGGAAUUAUUGGGCGUAAAGGGCGCGCAGGCGGUCUUGUCAGUCAGGUGUGAAAGCCCGGGGCUUAACCCUGGAAGUGCAUUUGAAACAGCAAGACUUGAAUACGGGAGAGGAAAGCGGAAUUCCUGGUGUAGAGGUGAAAUUCGUAGAUAUCAGGAGGAACACCGAUGGCGAAGGCAGCUUUCUGGACCGAUAUUGACGCUGAGGCGCGAAGGCGUGGGUAGCGAACAGGAUUAGAUACCCUGGUAGUCCACGCAGUAAACGUUGUUCACUCGGUGUGCCGGAUAUUAAAAUCUGGUGUGCCUAAGCUAACGCAUUAAGUGA
rnacentral:rRNA from 1 species